rnacentral:rRNA from 1 species
AUUGAACGCUGGCGGCAGGCCUAACACAUGCAAGUCGAACGGCAGCACGGGGAUGGUUGCUUCUUUGCGGAGGAGAGGCGGGCGGGUGAGAACUGUACGUGCAACUGCCUGAUGGAGGGGGAGAACAACUGGGGACGGUUGCUACAACCGCCUAGCGUCGCAAGGCGAGAGAGGGGGACAUCUCGGGCUCUUGCCAUCGGCGGUGUCCAGAUGGGAUGAGCUGGUGGGUGGGGGAAAGGCUCACCAAGACGACGAGCCGUAGCUGGUCUGAGAGGAGGACCAGCCACACUGGGACUGAGACACGGUCCAGACUCCUGCGGGAGGCAGCAGUGGGGAAUUUUGGACAAUGGGGGCAAUCCUGAUCCAGCCAUGCCGCGUGCGGGAAGAAGGCCUUCGGGUUGUAAAGCGCUUUUGUUCGGGAAGAAAUCCUCUGGGCUAAUACCCCGGGGGGAUGACGGUACCGGAAGAAUAAGCACCGGCUAACUACGUG